GACGGAGGGUGCUAGCGUUGUUCGGAAUGACUGGGCGUAAAGGGCGCGUAGGCGGCCGCUUGCGUCGGAUGUGAAAGCCCGGGGCUCACCCCGGAACGGCAUCCGAUACGGGGCGGCUCGAGACCGAGAGAGGUGAGUGGAAUACCCAGUGUAGAGGUGAAAUUCGUAGAUAUUGGGUGGAACACCGGUGGCGAAAGCGGCUCACUGGCUCGGUUCUGACGCUGAGG
rnacentral:rRNA from 1 species